GCCGGUUAGCUCAGUUGGGUAGAGCAUCAGACUUUUAAUCUGAGGGCCAUGGGUUCGAGUCCCAUAUCGGGCU
rnacentral:tRNA from 1 species